UCCCUGGUGGUCCAGUGGUUAAGACUCUGCACUACUGCUGCAGGGCGCAAGGGUUCAAGCCCUGGUCUGGGAA
rnacentral:tRNA from 1 species